GGUCUCCUCCGGGACGAGCUUGCCGGUCCAGCGGACGCUCACGUCGUCCGACUGCCCGGUGGCGAAGGCGAGUCGCGGUUCGAGGCUGUUGAAGUCCACC
rnacentral:tRNA from 1 species